rnacentral:lncRNA from 1 species
AUGGAUGUUGUGUCUGCCAUUAUUUCCCUUAGGCUGCUGUUGGAUUUAGAAACAUUCCUGAUAACUGUGCUCAGUAAUCAUUUGCGAUGCCUGAUCAGUUGUAUUGAUUUUUCUCCUUGCGUACAGAUUUCCCAUCAGCAGCGCAUUUGUGAAUCCUGGUUUAAUGUGCUCUUCCUGCUUAUCACUGAUCUCAGAAGCAUCGUGAUCUACAUCCCAAAGAACUCAUGAAGUCCAUGAGAGACACCAUCGGAAUGCCAAUGUCAGGGGAAUAAUGUAACCAUCACCAGGAGCAUGGGGAAUAGACUCCCAUUCUCAUGAAUAUAGGAGUUGUGAUUGUUAAUUUUGUGUGUCAAUUUGACUAGGCCAGGGAGUGCCCAGAUUAAACAUUACUUCUGGAUGUGUCUGAGGAUGUUUCUGGGUGAGAAUAGCAUUUAAAUUUUUGUGAACUGAGUAAAGUAGAUCACCCUUCUCAGUGUGGGUCAGCAUCCAUCCAAUCUGUUGAAGGCCUGAAUGAAACAAAACAUGGAGGAAGGGAGGGGUUCUCCCCUUAUUCUUCCUGUCAGGUUGCUUGAGCUGGGAUAUUGAUCUUGUCAAUGCUCCUGGUUCUCAGGCCUUUAGAUCUUGACUGUCAUCUCCAUCAUCAGCUCCCCUGAUUCUCAGGCUUUUGACUUUGGGUCAAAUUAGACCCACCGGCUCUCUUGGGUGUCUAGCUUGGAGACAGCAGAUCAUGGGAUGACUCCAUAACUACAUGAACAAAUUCCUUAUAAGUCUCUUUUCAUAUAUAUGCAUGCAUAUGUACACAUAUAUUCAUAGAUAUAUAUGCAUGAAUCUCCUGUUCUGUUUCUGUAGAGAAUCCUGACUAAUGCAGUAGUCUACGAUGAGGGAGAAAGGAAUUACAACAGAGAAUGUGGGAAAAAGCAACAAAUAAAUGACAUAGAAAGGUGCCUGGUAUGGAUCAAUGAUAAUAUACUGUGAACUGAGUUAAGAUUAAUUAAGACCUUAGUACAUGAGAUCAAAGAGGGAAAAAAUCAGCACUCUGUCUCAUUGAAUCCAAUUAAAACUAAUUUUAAAAUGGUUUCAUUUGCAAAAUUGACCAAGACUCUCAAGCACAUAGGAAUAAACACACAUACAUAUAUUAAUAUAAU